GUGUGGAGCCGUAGCGAAAGCGAGUUUUAACUGAGCGUUCAGUUACUUGACGUAGACCCGAAACCGGGCGACCUACCCAUGGGCAGGAUGAAGCGAAAGUAAAAUUUCGUGGAGGUCCGAACCCACGAGCGGUGAAAUUCCAAUCGAGCCCGGAGAUAGCUGGUUCUCCCCGAAAUAGAGCCCGGAGAUAGCUGGUUCUCCCCGAAAUA
rnacentral:rRNA from 1 species